ACGAACGCUGGCGGCGUGCUUAACACAUGCAAGUCGCACGGAAAGGCCCUGCUUUUGUGGGGUGCUCGAGUGGCGAACGGGUGAGUAACACGUGAGUAACCUGCCCUUGACUUUGGGAUAACUUCAGGAAACUGGGGCUAAUACCGGAUAGGAGCUCCUGCUGCAUGGUGGGGGUUGGAAAGUUUCGGCGGUUGGGGAUGGACUCGCGGCUUAUCAGCUUGUUGGUGGGGUAGUGGCUUACCAAGGCUUUGACGGGUAGCCGGCCUGAGAGGGUGACCGGCCACAUUGGGACUGAGAUACGGCCCAGACUCCUACGGGAGGCAGCAGUGGGGAAUAUUGCACAAUGGGCGGAAGCCUGAUGCAGCAACCCCGCGUGCGGGAUGACGGCCUUCGGGUUGUAAACCGCUUUCGCCUGUGACGAAGCGUGAGUGACGGUAAUGGGUAAAGAAGCACCGGCUAACUACGUG
rnacentral:rRNA from 1 species